UACAAUUUCAUAUCUUAAUAGUAACUGAUAAAUACAUACAAAUCAAAUCAAAUGUAUAUAAAAAAUACAUAUAUGUACAUAUUCUCCAUAAUCUAUAAACAUACAAAUAUUAAAAUACCUCUACCACUUUCUUUUCUUCAAAUUCAUAAUCAGAUGAAAUAGGACUUGAUAUUUUACUAAAUUCUCCUUUUUUGAUUGACUUCCUCAUUUUCAUAAAUUUUUGAACUUUUGUGGGUUUUGGGGAUGAAGGUUUUCUCAAUGCUUUCCGUUUCAUGAUUUCCAUAAUCUUCUUCGGAUUGUUAUGCUUCUUCGAUCUCACCUCUUCUAUGCUAACACCUCUCUUCGACUGAAUAUGAGUAGAAAUCAAGUUAAUAUCUUCAUCUUGUGUUAAACCAAGACUAAAUGAUAGUAGUUUAUCGGAAACUAAAUUCACCAGUGGAAUACCUCUAAUUGAACUUCUACAAUGCGAGUGUUCUGCCAUUAUAGUAGACCUCCAAAAACUUUCAACAAAAAAGAAAAAGUCCCCCCACCCCCUCCAAAAAAAACUGAAGAUAAGUGUUGAAGAAAAAAUCUAAAAAAAAUAAAAUAUAUAAAUUAUAUGGAAG
rnacentral:lncRNA from 1 species